UUUAUAUGAGAGUUUGAUCCUGGCUCAGGAUGAACGCUGGCGGCGUGCCUAAUACAUGCAAGUCGAACGAGUUCUCGUUGAUGAUCGGUGCUUGCACUGAGAUUCAACAUGGAACGAGUGGCGGACGGGUGAGUAACACGUGGGUAACCUGCCCUUAAGUGGGGGAUAACAUUUGGAAACAGAUGCUAAUACCGCAUAGAUCCAAGAACCGCAUGGUUCUUGGCUGAAAGAUGGCGUAAGCUAUCGCUUUUGGAUGGACCCGCGGCGUAUUAGCUAGUUGGUGAGGUAAUGGCUCACCAAGGCG
rnacentral:rRNA from 1 species